rnacentral:rRNA from 1 species
UUCUGGUUGAUCCUGCGGACUGACUGCUAUCGGAUUGGUACUAAGCCAUGCGAGUCAUUGUACAAUACAAGGCGGACGGCUCAGUAACACGUAGUCAACCUAACUCGUGGACGUGGAUAACCUCGGGAAACUGAGAAUAAACCACGAUAGAUCAUGAUGCCUGGAAUGGCUUAUGGUCCAAACAGUUUACUGCCAUGGGAUGGGACUGCGGCUAUCACUUGUGGUGAGGUAAUGGCCCACCAAGCGAUUACAGGUACGGGCUCUGAGAGGAGAAGCCNCGGAGAUGGGUACUGANGAACACGGNACCCCAGGNNNCCCUAUGGGGCGCAGCAGGCGAGAAACCUUAGCAAUGUGCGAAAGCACGACUGGGUCAGUCCGAGUGAUUCCUGAUAAAGGAGUCUUUUGCUUGUCCUAAAAGCACAGGUGAAUAAGGGGUGGGCAAGUCUGGUGUCAGCCGCCGCGGUAAUACCAGCACCUCGAGUGGUCAGGACGUUUAUUGGGCCUAAAGCAUCCGUAGCCGGCUUUGCAAGUCUUCGGUUAAAUCCACCUGCUCAACAGAUGGGCCGGUGGAAGAUACUACAAGGCU